GACGAACGCUGGCGGCGUGCUUAACACAUGCAAGCCGAACGGAAAGGCCCCUUUGGGGGUACUCGAGUGGCGAACGGGUGAGUAACACGUGAGUAACCUGCCCUUGACUUCGGGAUAACUUCAGGAAACUGGGGCUAAUACCGGAUAGGAAUCCUUGCUGCAUGGUGGGGGUUGGAAAGCUUCGGCGGUUUUGGAUGGACUCGCGGCUUAUCAGCUUGUUGGUGGGGUAGUGGCUUACCAAGGCUUUGACGGGUAGCCGGCCUGAGAGGGCGACCGGCCACAUUGGGACUGAGAUACGGCCCAGACUCCUACGGGAGGCAGCAGUGGGGAAUAUUGCACAAUGGGCGGAAGCCUGCUGCAGCAACGCCGCGUGCGGGAUGACGGCCUUUGGGUUGUAAACCGCUUUCAGCAGGGGCGAAGCUUGUGGUGACGGUACCUGCAGAAGAAGCACCGGCUAACUACGUG
rnacentral:rRNA from 1 species